CUUCUCUAUGUCGUUGUUGGGCUGUGACGUCCCCCCUCUCCCUGCACAACUCGGGGACCCCGCUGACCGUGAAUGGCAGAGGCCCGGGCGGCGGGAUUGUGAAGGUCAUUCCGCCAAAUGAGAACAAUGCUGCUCCUGGGGGCUGGGUCACUAGGGGGUGAGGCGGGGGGGGGGGGGAGAGCCCAGGGCUCGGCCCCUCCCGUGACCUUGGCUCUGCUCAGGCCGCUUUCUGAGCCUCAGUUUCCCUCCAGCGACUGGACAGCGCCCACCUCUGGGGUGCCUCCGGCUUUGGGGAGUCUGUGGGGCUACCGGCUACAUUUUGCUGUUCUGCUUCUGCUCCACCCCGGGAAGCGUGGCGCCCUCCCAGGCCACCGGGUUCUCCCUCGCCGCCCCCUACCCCCGCUGCCCCGCCCCGUCUCUGAACCCCCACCCACCUUCUGCCUUGGCCGGGGAUGAGGUGGGUUUCCUCUUAGGAGCCAGAAGGCUUCUAUGAGCCUCCAUCCUUUUUUUUGUUGUUUUUCCUAAAAUAGCCCUCCCCCUCCAAAUGCCCCCCACCCGUCGCCGAGAGCGUCUCAAGAAAGCCACAUAAUUCCAUCCUCACUCAUAUGACUGGUCACGUCCCUGCCCUGCACAACUGGCGCCCUCCUCCUCGAACCAAGAGGAGGACCCUGACUCGCCUGCCUCCCCCCCACACCCCCGGCGGAAGUCCUGCGUGGUCCGACUACCACUUCAACGUUGUCUCAGCCCUUCCACAGUCUCCCUGGACUGCCUGCCACACUCUGGCCACGCCCAGCAUCUGUCCUAACCGGUCCAGCCUCAGAGCCUUUGCAUCUGCUGUUCCCUCUGCCAGGAUCACCCUGCCCUGGCUCUCUUCACCCCCUAUUGUCUUUCAGAGCUUGGUCCAAUGUCACCUCCUGCCUAGAGUCAUCCCGUCUCUGGGCAUGUCAGUCUAGUUUACUGUCCUCGCUGCCCUCAGCCCCUGGUGUGGUCUGGUCCCUUGUUCACCUUCUGCUUUCCCCAGGGGAUCGUGAGGCCCGGUGUAAUGGGGACCUGGCUGAUGAGGCCAGCUCUGACCUAGCACCACCCUAGGAGCUCCAAAUAAAGGGACAGAACCACCCUCUGCCCAGCUAGCACCCUGGAAAGCACCCCUAGGACAUGGCACAAAAGAUCCAGGAGGAAGCAAAACCACAAACACUGUCAGGGGCCCCACAUGUUCCCCCCAUCUGGUCUGCUUAGCAGUUUCCAGAAUAACACGCCACUGGGAAAAGUGAUCGGCUGGGACCGAGUUCCUGGCCUGUUCAGCAGAAGCCAGGCCCGAGGCGUAACUCUUUGAGUGCUGGCAAAUAAGUAUGAAGAGCAAAGACGAGAAGUGGGGGAGGGAGAAGCCCUGGGGCUGACCUUUCCCCUGUUAUUAGCUUUUGCAUAAUAUUUUAUUACCUUAUACUUUUUUAAACCAAAGGGGAAGAUAAAAGGAAAAUCGCUGUUGGAGGGUACAAAAGCCCAGAGAGGGUAGGUGCCCCCAUGGGAGAGAAAACGCAGCUAUCAGUGUUGAAAAAUCAAGCACUCCCCCCAAUGCUUGCCUCCAUAAAAUCACCCUCCAAUGUUUUUUCCGAGCACCUACUGUAUGCUUAUAUGCCCAGAGAUUGAAGGGGAGCCGGGGUGGGGGUUCCCAGGGUCGCAGGCUUAGAGCAGUGAGCCCUGGUGGUUUCGGGAGAAAGAGGUGAUGGAGGCUGGGACAGGCAGGGACAUGUCACCUCGGCAGGGCCAUGUCACCUCAGCAGGGCCAUGCCCAUGGCAGAGGGUUGCGGGAGAGAGAAGGCGCCCGGAGGCGCGCGUGGGUGCCGCGCUUUUGCGCAUCACUGCCUGGCCGGGACUCGACCUCAGGCUGGUGUUCAAGGCCAGGAGGGGAGAUGGCACCGGAGGGCUCCUGGCGUGCAGGGCUGUGGGGCACCCCGGAGGCGAGAGACAAAGGCACCAUCCAGCGAGGUCCCCGCGGCUUUCACAAAGGCUCAAAGGACAGGCGGUGUGUGGGGAGGCGACGGAAAUGAGGACUGCCAAAUAAAAGGGCACGGAACGGGACAGACUUCUAACAAUAAAAAUUGUUCCUUGUUUAUCUGAAAGUCAAGUUUAACUGGGUGCCUUUUUUUUUUCUUUUCUUGAUCUGGAAACCCUAGGCGGCGAUCUGCUGGCGCAGCAAACCCCCUCCCUCCCCAGGCCAAACUGCGCGGGGUGGGGGCGGGGGGUUGUCCUGAAGGUGUCUGCCCUCUCUCCAGCCUCCCCUCCCGUCACCCCCACACCUGCCGUGUCCCCUUUAUGCGCUUCUCUUUGUCCCCCUCACAUUAUCCGUGUCCCUUAACUGCUCCCUAAGCUCCCCCUACUCUCCCUCUUCUUUUGUUGUCCCCCUCCCCCUCCCUACCCUGCACCCCUCUCCUCGUCAUCCCCACCCUUUUCGUUUCCCCUACCUUCUCCGGCACCCACCCCUCCUCCUCUU
ensembl:lncRNA